CCUACGGGCGGCAGCAGUGAGGAAUAUUGGUCAAUGGGCGUAAGCCUGAACCAGCCAAGUCGCGUGCGGGAUGAAGGUCCUCUGGAUCGUAAACCUCUUUUUUAAGGGAAUAAAGUGCGGGACGUGUCCCGUUUUGUAUUUACCUUAUGAUUAAGGAUCGGCUAACUCCGUGCCAGCAGCCGCGGUACUACGGAGGAUCCGAGCGUUAUCCGGAUUUGUUGGGUUUAAAGGGGGCGUAGGCGGGCUUUUAAGUCAGCGGUGAAAGUCUGUGGCUGAACCAUAGAAUUGCCGUUGAAACUGGAAGGCUUGAGUAUGUUUGAGGCAGGCGGAAUGCGUGGUGUAGCGGUGAAAUGCUUAGAUAUCACGCAGAACCCCGAUUGCGAAGGCAGCCUGCCAGGCCAUGACUGACGCUGAGGCACGAAAGCGUGGGGAUCAAACAGGAUUAGAUACCCCAGUAGUC
rnacentral:rRNA from 1 species